GUUUUUGGCUUUUCUUAAUUACAUUCAUUUUCAAAUUCUUUAAAAAAAAGAAUGCAUUGGUAAUAUGAAGAGAUAUGUAUGAUAUCACAGUACAAGAGCAAUACAAUGUUAUUUAAAAAAGUAUGCUUCAUAGAAACCUUUAAUUCAAUGGGCUUUUAACUGAUUACAAUGAUAUUUAGUAGAGUAAUUGUCAGAGAGAUGUGUAAUGUACUAACUGAGACAUGAAGUUUAUAAGGGCCAUGUCACAUGUUUAAUGUGACAUGUAGAGAAAUAUUUAUUUUAAAACUUGGUUGUUUCUAAAUUUGUAUUAAAAGUUCGGGUAGGUGAUUGAGAGAAUAUUGUAUCAGUCCUGGCUCUUGUUUCUUAAAAAGAGUCAGAUAUGAGAUGUUCUAGUUAAACCUUUUAUCUGUAAAGAAUUUGAAAACUUACUUGUUAAAGAGGUCAAUUUAUUUAUAUUCUGUUCUUACUGCUUGUAGUUUAAAAACGAAUAUG
rnacentral:lncRNA from 1 species